GCUUGUCUCAAAGAUUAAGCCAUGCAUGUCUAAGUAUAAACUGCUUAUACUGUGAAACUGCGAAUGGCUCAUUAUAUCAGUUAUAGUUUAUUUGAUGGUCCUUGCUACUUGGAUAACCGUAGUAAUUCUAGAGCUAAUACAUGCAUCAAACCCCGACUUCUGGAAGGGGUGUAUUUAUUAGAUGGAAACCAAUGCAGGGCAACCUGGAAUAUGGUGAUUCAUAAUAACUCGCGGAUCGGUUUACCGAUGCAUCAUUCAAGUUUCUGCCCUAUCAGCUUUGGAUGGUAGGAUAUGGGCCUACCAUGGCAUUAACGGGUAACGGGGAAUUAGGGUUUGAUUCCGGAGAGGGAGCCUUAGAAACGGCUACCACAUCCAAGGAAGGCAGCAGG
rnacentral:rRNA from 1 species